AAUCAUCGUAUUUUAUUUUUUUUUGUAUUUUACAAAAAAAAAAACAGGAAACAGAAAAAAAACAAACCAAACAAAUCAGUUUUCAUAUUAAGCUUCAUGCAACGAGCGUGUAGUUUUUCAAACGUACAUACAAACGCAAAGCUUUAACUCAAAAUAUAAACUCUAGUUUUCCGAGGAGAUAACAACAAACAUGACUUUUCGUUCCAUGACUCGUAUUCGUAAGUCGAUAUGUCAAUCUGACAGAAUGUCCAUUACUUAUGCAUACAAAUAUCGAUGCACAUCCGCUGCAUGAAAUCAAUUAAAAAUUUGCUAAAAGUUGUCCGUUUUGAUCCGAUAAUUAUUCACCGGUACCCCCUCCGCUCCGCCGGUCAGCGCCGCCCGCCUCCGUCGCCAAUGUGGUUUGCGCCAAUGGUGAUGUACUCCCAUGUGCCGUUCAUCUUUCUAUGUACGAACUCCGGCAAGCGUAUGAAUAUAUAUUCGAAAUAAUUAAAAUUCAUCACUAUGCUAAAUUUAUUUCACUCACUUUUGGGCAAACUUUUGAAUAAAUUACAUUAGAUAUGCUGAGACUGUUGUUUGGUGCGUUGCUCUCCUGCCCCCGAGCGCCAUCGGCCAAAGGUUGGAUCUCUUUGAAGACACUCUCGCCUCACUCAUCUCCCGUGUCAUCCGGAGGUGCCAAUGUACCAUCGGGGGAGUUUUGCGAACCGGAGGUAAAAGUUCAUUAUGCCAAAGAGAUCCGCUUCUGUUUCCAAAACGCCAUGUUUCCCCCGCUUCUCCCCCCGAGUUGUAUCGACAAACGACGAACUACGGCGGGGACGGAAAACUGUUCAACGCAUCGCAUAUUCCAGCAGAGUACGUUCAUGGAAGAAAAUCACUUUUAUUGGUGAAAAGUUGCUCUUGGGUACGUACCCCGAGGGGUUGAGAAUGUCUGCGCCACCUCAGGGGUUUCCCCUUCCGUGGUGGAACCAGAGUGGGAGCUUAUUUCGGCGACAUACCGCAUCAUCAACAAUGGUGUCAAGUUUGUAUUAGAUCAGUUGUUGUUUUUAUCAAUAAAUCUGGAAAAUGCCGAAGGGAAAGCUGCUCACGGAGAGAGAAAAAGGACAAAUCGAUGCAAUUCACCAAGAGGAAUGUUGGUAUCAAGACGGGUUUAUGGUACUAGUAGACUUCCAAGAUGGCUGAAGAGUGGUUUUAGCAAGUUGGCCCACCUUAGGAUAUACUUCUAGGCGCCUUGGUUGGUAUCAGAAAAAUUGCUCAUCGGAUUGGACGAUUCCAUCAAGUAGUUCUCAAUUAUUUGGCGAAUCCUUAAGAAUACGAUAAAAAGAAGAGAGCUCCACGUAAAUUGAAGCUCUCUA